AUUGAACGCUGGCGGCAGGCCUAACACAUGCAAGUCGAGCGAGCGGCGGACGGGUGAGUAAUGUCUGGGAAACUGCCUGAUGGAGGGGGAUAACCACUGGAAACGGUAGCUAAUACCCCAUUUCAGCAGCUGUGCCCAGAUGGGAUUAGCUAGUAGGUGGGGUAACGGCUCACCCAGGCCACGAUCCCUGGCUGGUCUGGGAGGAUGACCAGACAAACUGUAACUGGGACACGGUCCAGACUCCUACGGGAGGCAGCAGUGGGGAAUAUUUCACAAUGGGCGCAAGCCUGAUGCAGCCAUGCCGCGUGUUUGAAGAAGGCCUUCGGGUUGUAAAGCACUUUCAGCGGGGAGGCGUUACCCGCAGAAGAAGCACCGGCUAACUCCGUGCCAGCAGCCGCGGUAAUAC
rnacentral:rRNA from 1 species